rnacentral:lncRNA from 1 species
AUAUGAUAAGUGAAACUUGAGUGCAAUGUGUAUUGUGUGUGACACCGAUAACGGGUGGCGUCUAGUGAUUGAGUCCAAGUACAAGUCUAAGUGAAAAGGGAAAGUAAAUGAAAAAUGGGAAGGAAUAAGUGUAAAUGAUAAGGAUGUGAAAGGAUAAGUGAAAGUAUAGAAGAAUAACGUUAAGGUUAAGCAUGGGUGGGAUCAUAUAGAGAGUCUAAGGAAAGUAGGUGGGGUAGUAGUCCACGCUAAGCUACCCAUAGGAGAUGUGGCCAAUCCACAUGAAUAUGGGGUAGUAGUCUAGUUGGGGCUACCCACUGAUGAAAAGAUGAAAAGGAUGAAAAGAUGAAAAUGAUGAAAAGAUGAAAGGAUGUGCAUUGUAGGGUUUUUAGAUCAUGGUCGGGUAACAGGGAGUUAAAGGUGUCAUAGGAUUGAGUUGGAAUGGGAAGACGAGUCGGUUAAAGUCUAGGGUUUGACGUGUGUGGCAAUGAGUGAGAUCAUUGUAUUGAUUGAUCAUUAGGUGGUUAGAAAUGAAUGGAAGUGAAGGUGGAAAAUUAUAGAUGAUGUUAGGAAAUGAUAAAAUGCUUUAACUGAUUGUAGUGGCUAGUCAGUCCUAGUUCCCGCAUAGAGUAGUAUAGAGUGUCAUGCGGGCAGGCUGGUCUAGAACUACUUCACUGAGUAACUUGUUGCUCACCCCUCCAUUUCCAUUUUUUUCCUGUGCGCAGGACUGUAAGUAGAAGUAUAUGGAUGUGGGUGUGACGGUAUUUCAAAGAAGGUUAUGCGCUUGUCUCUCGGGACCAGUAACAGGACACGUAGGGUUGUCUAAAUGAGUAGACAGUGUCCGUAACGCCCCUUCGAUAACCCCGGUCGGACGCCGGGGGAUCGGGCUGUUACAAUUGGUAUCAGAGCGGGUUAAGAUCCCUUAGUUCUGUCCUAAGGGAUCAGCAUUUCCGACGUUUUCAAAAAAAAACUUGUUUUCAUUAAAAGAAAAGAGUUUGUAAAAGUUUUGUAUCUUCUAACACUCCUGAAAAUGAUUUCAAAACCACCCACUAUAUCUAUACGUUAUUAUGAUUUUGAUCAGAUCCAUUGUACUUGCAAAAUUUCUUUUUGAGCUUAAUUCAUUCAUUGGUUUUUAAAAGAUUUCCGAGCAAAGUUGUUCUCGCCUUGUGUGCCUCCCUUGUAUGAUGUGUGAUUGUGUGAGUUCCUUUUGUUAUCGGAUGUUAAGUUCGGAAGUCUAGGGCUUGGAAUUCGGGGACGAAUUCCGAUUAACAGGUCCGAGUUGUAACGGCCCGGUUCCUGGCCCAAAAAUUUCUUAAGGAGAGCCCGUUAAGACUGCAGCCCAUUAGGGUAAAUGACCUAGGGUUCCCUCUUUUUCCUAUAAAUGAAGCUGCCUCCUCUCACUUUACUCUCAUUUCUGAAACUUGAGCGAAGCUCUGCAGAGAUUUAGAGAGACUAGGAAACCCUAGCCGUCAAGCUUCUCUUUUCCUUUUUUCUCUUCUUCUUUCACGCCUCUCUCUCUCUCUCUCUCUCUCCGUGAUCUCUCUCCUCUCUCCCUCCUCCUCGCUGGUGCCGUGUGGUGGUGGUGGUGGUGGUUGCAGCCGUGGUGGUGGUGACCAGAUCUCGUCUCUCUCUUGUUUAGUUGUUCCAGAUCUGUUCAGAUCUCCUCAUCCUUGUUUCCAGAUCCAGAUCCAGAUCUAGGCUAAGGUGGAGUGUCUCGAACCCAACUUUCUCUCAUGAUUCUGUAUACUCCUUUAUGUUGGAGUUAGGUUGUUUAGACCCUGUUUGAGAGUUAGGAUGAUAGAACAGGAUAACUGCUAGGAUGAUAGAUGAGUGAAUCAUGAUGCAUAAGAACCUCAUACUGUUAACGGGACUUGAUGAACUGAUCUAUGUUUGGUUGAUGAGUGAUGCUUGUAUGUUUGGAUGUUUAGUCCCAUGUAUGGUUUGUGAAUAAAGCUAGGGUGCUAGAAAGAAUGAAUGCUAAGAUGAUAGAUGACUACUAAUUGCUAUUGAUAUGAUAAGUGAAACUUGAGUGCAAUGUGUAUUGUGUGUGACACCGAUAACGGGUGGCGUCUAGUGAUUGAGUCCAAGUACAAGUCUAAGUGAAAAGGGAAAGUAAAUGAAAAAUGGGAAGGAAUAAGUGUAAAUGAUAAGGAUGUGAAAGGAUAAGUGAAAGUAUAGAAGAAUAACGUUAAGGUUAAGCAUGGGUGGGAUCAUAUAGAGAGUCUAAGGAAAGUAGGUGGGGUAGUAGUCCACGCUAGGCUACCCAUAGGAGAUGUGGCCAAUCCACAUGAAUAUGGGGUAGUAGUCU